CAGCUGAUGCAAAGGCUUGAGAAUCAACAAGCUGAAAUGCAAAACCAGCAGCUUGAAAUGCAGGAACUCCUUAAGGCUUUACGAGCAGAAUUGCAGUCCAAGAACCAAGGCAAUGGAAAUGCAUCUGGUAGUAAUAGCUGAUAAAUGCUAUUCAUACUAGCUUUUGGAAGAUAUCUAUGGUUAUGGUUGAAUAACGUUGAAGAGAAAAUUGCCUUUUGCUCAUGGAGUGGUUCAUUUAGAUGUUUUUCAAUUUCUUAAACUGUAAUUGCUUUUGUACUUGUACCUUAUGUACAAGUGAUAUUUUGGACAAAUGUUAUUUUUGUAGGCAUUAGUUGGGUAAUGUACACUUGAAUUUGGCAUUUGAGAAUGCUAUAUUAUUACCAUGUAAUCUAAUGCAAAUACUUUUGGUUAUCAAUCGUUCAUGUUUA